rnacentral:tRNA from 1 species
GGCCCUGUAGCUCAACUGAAUAGAGUAUCUGACUACGGAUCAGAAGGUUCAAGGUUUGACUCCUUGCAGGGUCAC